ensembl:lncRNA
GCCCACACCUUGCAUGGCUCUGUCCUCUUAGUGGUUGCUUACUGGUCUUAAUCUUCAAGGUUUAGUUUCCUGGACUUGGAAUAAUUCUAGUCCUGGACUAAAACGUUUUUCAGCGGGGAUCCUUAUCAACGUUUUCUUUUAGUCUUGAGCUAGGCUUAAUACAAGCCUAGGACUGAUACAAGCAAACGUGCUACAUAAGAACUGUCCAUUUACUACUCCUCUGCUCUCUGUCUCACUGUGUGUACAGUGCGAUGGAAACAAGCACAAGCAAAAGAGAGCAAAACAACAGGAUUCAGAUAAUCUGAAAUGAUGUGACUGCACAGAAAAAGAUGGAUAAAAUACUUAUUUGCUUCUUGGGAAAAAUGCUGAUUGCUCAGCCUCUACAUUGUCUUUUCAUUUUUAGUGUCAUUCUGGUCUCUUUAUGAAGACGUCCCAAAGAGAGGGACUCACAUGCACUAGCAUGUACAACCAUGUUUUCCGUUCAAAACAUCAAAAAUGUUAACGUUUACCUUUGUGUGUGCAAGGAAAGACCAUUUAAGGAGGACCAGAUGAUGAUGUCUGUAUUCUCUUUAUAUAUUCCCUGCAGAGGGUACUCAAACCUCAGCAAAGUAAAAGACAAGGACCUCUAAGAUUAGAAAUGUGUGGCUCAAUCCUUACUUUGUCAAGUUGACCUUGCGUUGCCGGUACUCCCUCAGUGCUCCACUCCUCUGCAGCUCCGUCCGUGUUGAUACUACUGAAAUAAAGCAAUUGAAAUCCAUGGUUGUAAUGUCAUAUUGUGUGAAUAUGAACAAUAUAAAUAAUAUUGUUCAUUUGCUUGUACAUUUGUUUUGCUUAUUUGUCAAAUAAUGGACCACAAGAGAUAAGCCAAUGAAGUAUUACCUUAAUAUUGCCGAGAAAUGUAAAAUUAUGUUCUUUGUUAUUUUGAAAAGUAGCCAUGGAAGAAAGGCUGAAAACUUGUUCACAUUUUGUUUAUGGCUUUAAGCGUUUUUUUGUAUAUUAAUCAAAUAUUUCCAUGUAUGAUUGUGCCAGUGCAAUAAGUUAUUGCACUUAGAUUGUCCGAGUUUUUUUUUAAUCAUUAUUUUUGCCUAUUCCACUGGGACGCUUCCUUUAAUAAAGCCAGAGACUACGUGGUUUUGGUUUUGUCCCAGGAGAAACUAAGAAAAACUAAAAAAAGAGAAAAAAAACGAAGCCCGUCCAUAUUUAGCGCUGCUCAUGUGCUGUAUUUUUGUACAGAAGUAACUCGCUGUGUUUGUUAAUGAUGGUUUCUAAAUGAUUUUGAAAUAAAUUGAUCUCCAGUGGUAGAAUGAGUGCAAAUAGUUUUGUUUUUCUUUCUUUGAAAGGUUAAGAAAUUUAACUCAUGUCCACCACAAUCAUUUUCUGAAAGAGAAGGAGUUUGGUUUAUUUGGGCUGUUUCUUUGGGUGAGUGAA